rnacentral:rRNA from 1 species
GUGAGACGGAUAGUGUGACCCUCUUAAUGGAUUGAGGGCGAAGCGAAGCGGCUGGUUACCAGGUAAAUCCGGUAACCUUAAGGCUAGAGCGUGACAGGUAAGCGAAAUCUAAGGAAAGUAGCGAAGCACAUGAUGACGGCUUCCAGGAAAAGCUUCUGGCAAUGCAUAUGCGGCCCGUACCAAAACCGACACAGGUGGGCAGGGAGAGAAUCCCGAGGUGAGCGAGAGAACUGUUGCCAAGGAACUCGGCAAAAUGACUCCGUAAGUUAGCGAGAAGGAGUGCUUAAGCAAUUAAGCCGCAGUGAAGAGGCCCAAGCGACUGUUUAACUAAAACACAGCUCUCUGCGAAGUCGCAAGACGAAGUAUAGGGGGUGACACCUGCCCGGUGCUGGAAGGUUAAGAGGACCUGUUAAGAGCGAUCUGAAGCAGUGGUCCGAAGCCCCAGUGAACGGCGGCCGUAACAAUAACGGUCCUAAGGUAGCGAAAUUCCUUGUCAGGUAAGUUCUGACCCGCACGAAAGGUGUAACGAUUUGGGCGCUGUCUCGGCAGCAGACUCGGUGAAAUCUUAGUACCUGUGAAAAUGCAGGUUACCCGCAACUAGACGGAAAGACCCCAUGGAGCUCUACUGCAGCCUGAUAUUGAAUUCUGGUCAUACAUGUACAGGAUAGGUGGGAGACAAAGAGACGUGCACGCCAGUGUACGAGGAGUCGACGCUGGGAUACCACUCUUGUGUGACCGGGGUUCUAACCUGGUAUCGAGAACAGGUACGGGGAGAGUGUCAGGUGAGCAGUUUGACUGGGGCGGUCGCCUCCCAAAGAGUAACGGAGGCGCCCAAAGGUACGCUCAGAUUGGAUGGAAACCAAUCGACGAGUGCAAUUGCAGAAGCGUGCUUGACUGUGAGACAAACAAGUCGAACAGGGACGAAAGUCGGGAAUAGUGAUCCGGCGGUGCCGAAUGGAAGGGCCGUCGCUCAACGGAUAAAAGCUACCCUGGGGAUAACAGGCUGAUCUCGCCCAAGAGUUCACAUCGACGGCGAGGUUUGGCACCUCGAUGUCGGCUCAUCGCAUCCUGGAGCUGGAUUCGGUUCCAAGGGUUGGGCUGUCCGCCCAUUAAAGCGGUACGCGAGCUGGGUUCAGAACGUCGUGAGACAGUUCGGUCCCUAUCUGUUGUGGGCGAAGGAGAUCUGCGGAGAGCUGUCCUCAGUACGAGAGGACCGGGAUGGACCUACCGCUGGUGCACCGGUUGUUCCGCCAGGGGCAUAGCCGGGUAGCUAAGUAGGGAAAGGAUAAGCGCUGAAAGCAUCUAAGCACGAAGCCUACUCCAAGAUGAGAUCUCCCAUUCGCAAGAAGUAAGACCCCUUAAAGACGAUAAGGUAGAUAGGCCAGGGAUGGAAGUGCAGUGAUGUACGGAGUUGACUGGUACUAAUCGGUCGAGGACUUAACCAA